UAGCAAAAUGGCCUUCUAAUCAUGUUGGUGCACCACGCUGGCUUGAACCCUCACCAGUAGAGUCUGCAUUUUAUUUCAUGUGGAACUGAUAGAUCAAUUCGAUUCUGGAAGGAGGUUUAAUAUAUAUGCAGUCCUUAAUGAGUGGUGCUAUAUGGCACGACACCCUCUUGACACGAAGUUGCACGACCCACGCACAAACUCCAUGCAAUAUACUCAUUUGAUGGGUUUAAUGCUAAUUUAUCCGAAUAAAAAAAAUAAGUAAGCAUAAUCUAAACAUUGUUGCUAUACCGCCUCACCAUCAUUAGCUAUAGUCCAAAACAAUGUUUUCUGCGAAUCUGCAAUGGAAUAAAGGUCAAAUAUAUCAAACUCUUGCAAGAUGCUACACGUAUCAAAGCAUCACUUACUACCAAAAUAAAUCAUGAAUUAGGAUUAAUUGUAGUAGAACCAUUAGAAAAUAAUCAUUUUUAAUUCAAAUCAAAUAAGAGAAACAAAUAGAAAUGGUAGAAAUCACUUAUCGUGCAAUUUGGACGACAAAUCUUGUCGUGCACUUUAUCAUUUCCCGUCCUUAAUUAAAAUCUCUCUCGCCCAAUUUGUGGUACUAUUUUUCCCUGCAAAAUCAGUAAAUGCAUUUGCCGCAUAAAAUUGGAGGAUUAUGUUUGUGCUGAUGUGGUGCUUAGUUUUCAAGUACUUCUUAAUAACUGUUUGUUUCACAGUCUCUGUUUGAACCAACUUAGCUUAAUUUUGAUAUGAUUAUAUGAAUUUUAUGUCGUUUAUUUUCACAUACUUCUAUUUGAAGUUCCUUAAACUAAAUUUAUAAAUGAACAAGAAUUGACUUGAGCUACAGGAAGGC
rnacentral:lncRNA from 1 species